rnacentral:rRNA from 1 species
GUCGCACGAGAAAGGGGGCAACCCUGAGUACAGUGGCGUACGGGUGAGUAACACGUGGGUGAUCUACCUCUGAGUGGGGAAUAACCCUGGGAAACCGGGGCUAAUACCGCAUAAUCUCGAGAGAGGAAAGCAGCAAUGCGCUGAGAGAGGAGCCCGCGGCCGAUUAGCUAGUUGGUAGGGUAAAAGCCUACCAAGGCAAAGAUCGGUAGCCGGCCUGAGAGGGCACACGGCCACACUGGCACUGAAACACGGGCCAGACUCCUACGGGAGGCAGCAGUGGGGAAUCUUGCACAAUGGGGGAAACCCUGAUGCAGCGACGCCGCGUGAGCGAUGAAGCCCUUCGGGGUGUAAAGCUCUUUCGUCAGGGAAGAUUAUGACGGUACCUGGAGAAGCAGCUGCGGCUAACUACGUGCCAGCAGCCGCGGUAAUACGUAGGCAGCGAGCGUUGUUCGGAGUUACUGGGCGUAAAGGGUGUGUAGGCGGUUCUUUAAGUUUGGUGUGAAAUCUCCCGGCUCAACCGGGAGGGUGCGCCGAAUACUGAGGGACUUGGAGUGCGGGAGAGGAAAGUGGAAUUCCUGGUGUAGCGGUGAAAUGCGUAGAUAUCAGGAGGAACACCGGUGGUGUAGACGGCUUUCUGGACCGUAACUGACGCUGAGACACGAAAGCGUG